rnacentral:lncRNA from 1 species
CCCGCAUUAGAAGGUGGACGCUUGUAGAUUUGACUUUGGAAUGCCCGCAUUAGAAUGUGGGUGCAUAUAAAAUUUGACUUUGAAAUCCCUGCGUUAGAAGGUGAGUGCCUGUAAAAGAAAGGAGUUAUCUUUCCCACACAAGAAAAUUGAUGAAAAGGGGACCUACUUGACUCUUUUUUAUUAUUUUCUGCAUUUUUUGUUGUCUUUGUGAUUUUUGUAAAGAAUGUUAAAAAAAAAUUAAGAGUAAAGAAAGACUAUAAUUUAUUGAUCAAUCAUUUCUUGACUUCAGUUGGUACCAAUAAUUAGUAUUGUGCAUAAAAACUUCCAUCAUAUAUUAUCCGAUAAAUCGAGAUUGGCUUGUGGGUAAUCUUAUAGCUUCGAGUGAUACCUCAUGUAUACCUAAGUAUCGAAAAGAUUUGUUCAUCUUGCUUCAAUCAAUGAUUUUGACUUUUGCAUAUCCUCAUGUUUCAAGUGCCCUCACCAAAAAAAAGGUCCUAAUUUGCACACAUUUGAAAUAUUUAUAUUGUAGGAUAUUUUGGGAAGCACAUUCACACUCAAAAAGAUGUUCAAUGCACGCGAUUGAGAUACCAUAUGCUUGGCCUUCAUGUAAGCAUCCACUAAUAUGAGAACACUUGAAAUAGGAUAAUGUAAGGCUUGUUAUCGACUUGUAAUGUAGGCUUGGGGAUGUGUAGGAUAUUCAUUUGGGAGGAAAGUGAUGAAUCCCUCCUUGAGCACUGCAUUGUAUCUGCGUUUGUUUAAAUCAUGCUUCGGCACUUGAUCUUGU